UACGUAGGGGGCAAGCGUUGUCCGGAAUCAUUGGGCGUAAAGCGCGCGUAGGCGGCCCGGUAAGUCCGCUGUAAAAGUCCAGGGCUCAACCCUGGAAAGCCGGUGGAUACUGUCGGGCUAGAGUCCGGAAGAGGCGAGUGGAAUUCCUGAUGUAGCGGUGGAAUGCGCAGAUAUCAGGAGGAACACCGAUGGCGAAGGCAGCUCGCUGGGACGGUACUGACGCUGAGGCGCGAAAGCGUGGGGAGCGAACAGG
rnacentral:rRNA from 1 species